CACGGACCGCACGAACGUUAUUCGGUAUCACUGGGCUUAAAGGGUGCGUAGGCGGCUUUGCAAGUUGGAUGUGAAAGCCCUCGGCUUAACUGAGGAAGUGCAUCCAAAACUGAGUAGCUAGAGUACUAAAGAGGGUCGCGGAAUUCCCGGUGUAGAGGUGAAAUUCGUAGAUAUCGGGAGGAACACCGGUGGCGAAGGCGGCGACCUGGGUAGAUACUGACGCUGAGGCGCGAAAGCGUGGGGAGCAAACAGG
rnacentral:rRNA from 1 species